UACACUCCUGCGGGAGGCAGCAGUGGGGAAUUUUGGACAAUGGGCGAAAGCCUGAUCCAGCAAUGCCGCGUGUGUGAAGAAGGCCUUCGGGUUGUAAAGCACUUUUGUCCGGAAAGAAAUCCUUGGCUCUAAUACAGUCGGGGGAUGACGGUACCGGAAGAAUAAGCACCGGCUAACUACGUGCCAGCAGCCGCGGUAAUACGUAGGGUGCGAGCGUUAAUCGGAAUUACUGGGCGUAAAGCGUGCGCAGGCGGUUUGCUAAGACCGAUGUGAAAUCCCCGGGCUCAACCUGGGAACUGCAUUGGUGACUGGCAGGCUAGAGUAUGGCAGAGGGGGGUAGAAUUCCACGUGUAGCAGUGAAAUGCGUAGAGAUGUGGAGGAAUACCGAUGGCGAAGGCAGCCCCCUGGGCCAAUACUGACGCUCAUGCACGAAAGCGUGGGGAGCAAACAGGAUUAGAAACCCUUGUAGUCCCAUG
rnacentral:rRNA from 1 species